GACGGGGGGGGCAAGCGUUGUUCGGAAUUACUGGGCGUAAAGGGCGCGUAGGCGGCGCAGGAAGUCUUGGGUGAAAGCCCCCGGCUCAACCGGGGAAUUGCCUGAGAAACCACUGUGCUGGAGUGCUGGAGAGGAAAGCGGAAUUCCCGGUGGAGCGGUGAAAUGCGUAGAGAUCGGGAGGAACACCUGAGGCGAAGGCGGCUUUCUGGACAGACACUGACGCUGAGGCGCGAAAGCUAGGGGAGCAAACAGG
rnacentral:misc_RNA from 1 species